CAGGCUUAACACAUGCAAGUCGAGCGGAAACGAUGUAGCUUGCUACAGGCGUCGAGCGGCGGACGGGUGAGUAAUGCUUGGGAAUAUGCCAUAAGGUGGGGGACAACAGUUGGAAACGACUGCUAAUACCGCAUAAUGUAUUAUCUUUAGCGGAUAAUACCAAAGGAGGGGCUCUUCGGACCUUUCGCCUUUUGAUUAGCCCAAGUGAGAUUAGCUAGUUGGUGAGGUAAAGGCUCACCAAGGCGACGAUCUCUAGCUGGUUUGAGAGGAUGAUCAGCCACACUGGGACUGAGACACGGCCCAGACUCCUACGGGAGGCAGCAGUGGGGAAUAUUGCACAAUGGGGGAAACCCUGAUGCAGCCAUGCCGCGUGUGUGAAGAAGGCCUUCGGGUUGUAAAGCACUUUCAGUUGCGAGGAAAGGUUGGUAGUUAAUAACUGCUAACUGUGACGUUAACAACAGAAGAAGCACCGGCUAACUCCGUGCCAGCAGCCGCGGUAAUACGGAGGGUGCGAGCGUUAAUCGGAAUUACUGGGCGUAAAGCGUGCGUAGGUGGUUUGUUAAGCAAGAUGUGAAAGCCCAGGGCUCAACCUUGGAACUGCAUUUUGAACUGGCAGACUAGAGUAUUGUAGAGGGUGGUGGAAUUUCCAGUGUAGCGGUGAAAUGCGUAGAGAUUGGAAGGAACAUCAGUGGCGAAGGCGGCCACCUGGACAACUACUGACACUGAGGCACGAAAGCGUGGGGAGCGAACAGGAUUAGAUACCCUGGUAGUCCACGCCGUAAACGAUGUCAACUAGCCUGUUUGUGUCCUUGAGACGUGAGUAGCGCAAGCUAACGCGAUAAAGUUGACCGUCUGGGGAGUUACGGCCGCAAGGUUAAAAACUCAAAUGAAUUGACGGGGGGCCCGCACAAGCGGUGGAGCAUGUGGUUUAAUUCGAUGCAACGCGAAGAACCUUACCAUCCCUUGACAUCCACAGAAUUCACUAGAGAUAGAGAAGUGCCUUCGGGAACUGUGGGACAGGUGCUGCAUGGCUGUCGUCAGCUCGUGUUGUGAAAUGU
rnacentral:rRNA from 1 species